rnacentral:rRNA from 1 species
UACGUAGGGUGCGAGCGUUAAUCGGAAUUACUGGGCGUAAAGCGUGCGUAGGCGGUUCUCCAAGUCCGUUGUGAAAGCCCCGGGCUCAACCUGGGAAUGGCAGUGGAAACUAGGGGACUGGAAUCUGGCAGAGGGGGGUGGAAUGCCGCGUGUAGCAGUGAAAUGCGUAGAGAUGCGGCGGAACACCGAUGGCGAAGGCAGCCCCCUGGGCUGAGAUUGACGCUCAGGCACGAAAGCGUGGGGAGCAAACAGGA